UCUUAUCGAGAGUGGCGGAGGGACAGGCCCUAUGAAGCCCGGCAACCGAUUCUUUAUAGAGAUUUUUUCUAUAUUGGAUGACAUGGUGCUAAAUCCUUCAAGAUCAUAUGUUUUUGGUCUUGGCAGAUGAGA
rnacentral:ncRNA from 1 species